CCCUGCAAGUCGAACGGCAGCGGGGGAAAGCUUGCUUUCCUGCCGGCGAGUGGCGGACGGGUGAGUAAUGCGUAGGAACCUGCCCUGAAGAGGGGGACAACCCGGGGAAACUCGGGCUAAAACCGCAUAAUACUUUUCGAAGGAAAGCUGGCUAUCAGUUUACUGGUAGCUGGUGCUUUGGGAGGGGCCUACGUUGGAUUAGCUUGUUGGUGGGGUAAAGGCCUACCAAGGCGAUGAUCUAUAGCUGUUCUGAGAGGAAGAUCAGCCACACUGGGACUGAGACACGGCCCAGACUCCUACGGGAGGCAGCAGUGGGGAAUAUUGGACAAUGGGGGAAACCCUGAUCCAGCGAUGCCGCGUGUGUGAAGAAGGCCUGCGGGUUGUAAAGCACUUUUAAUAGGGAGGAAUAGUUCCAUGUUAAUAGCGUGGAGCAGUGACGUUACCUAUAGAAUAAGCACCGGCAAACUCUGUGCCAGCAGCCGCGGUAAUACAGAGGGUGCGAGCGUUAAUCGGAAUG
rnacentral:rRNA from 1 species